rnacentral:rRNA from 1 species
AUUGAACGCUGGCGGAAUGCUUUACACAUGCAAGUCGAGCGGCAGCGCGGGGCAACCUGGCGGCGAGCGGCGAACGGGUGAGUAAUACAUCGGAACGUACCCUGUCGUGGGGGAUAACGAGUCGAAAGAUUCGCUAAUACCGCAUACGACCUGAGGGUGAAAGCGGGGGAUCGCAAGACCUCGCGCGAUGGGAGCGGCCGAUGGCGGAUUAGCUAGUUGGUGAGGUAAAGGCUCACCAAGGCGACGAUCCGUAGCGGGUCUGAGAGGACGACCCGCCACACUGGAACUGAGCCACGGUCCAGACUCCUACGGGAGGAAGCAGUGGGGAUUUUUGGACAAUGGGGGCAACCCGGGUCCAGCCAUUCCGCGUGAGUGAAGAAGGCCUUCGGGUUGUAAAGCUCUUUCGGCAGGAACGAAACGGUCCUUUCUAAUACAAGGGGCUAAUGACGGUACCUGAAGAAGAAGCGCCGGCUAACUACGUGCCAGCAGCCGCCGUAA